GAUGAACGCUGACAGAAUGCUUAACACAUGCAAGUCUACUUGAACUUCGGUUUGGGUGGCGGACGGGUGAGUAACGCGUAAAGAACUUGCCUCACAGAUAGGGACAACAUUUGGAAACGAAUGCUAAUACCUGAUAUUAUGAUUUUAGGGCAUCCUAGAAUUAUGAAAGCUAUAUGCACUGUGAGAGAGCUUUGCGUCCCAUUAGCUAGUUGGAGAGGUAACGGCUAACCAAGGCGAUGAUGGGUAGCCGGCCUGAGAGGGUGAUCGGCCACAAGGGGACGGAGACACGGCCCUUACUCCUACGGGAGGAAGCAGUGGGGAAUAUUGGACAAUGGACCAAGAGUCUGAUACAGCAAUUCUGUGUGGACGAUGAAGUUUUUCGGAAUGUAAAGUGCUUUCAGGUGGGAAGAAAAAAAUGACGGUACCAACAGAAGAAGUGACGGCUAAAUACGUG
rnacentral:rRNA from 1 species